ensembl:lncRNA
UCAGUGGUCCAGCUGGUCCCCGUGGAGUCCGUGCUCAGCCAGCUGUGGUACAGGGCGACAGAGCUCCACUAGAUUUAUCCUGCAGCUCAGCCAGUAUGGAGGGACCCCAUGUGAAGGCCUUAACCACCGCACCACAGCCUGCACCGCCCCUGACUGUGUGUGUCCUGAAGGGGAGCAGUGGAGGAGGAGCGUGUCGGAGGAGGCCCUGCUGUGUGAGAGGAGCUGCCUGGACAUUUACUCCUCCUCUCCUGUCAACUGCAGCCGCUCCGCUGAGGGCUGCGUGUGUCAGGACGGGCUUUACCGAAACACAGAGGGUGUGUGUGUCAUCCCCGCCCUCUGCCCCUGCCAUGACCAGGGCAUCCUGCGGGAGGCUGGAUCGGAGUGGGAGGAGGGCUGUCUGUCAUGCAGCUGUGUGAACGGGAGGAAACAAUGCCAGACGAGGUGCCCCCCGCUGUACUGCGAUGAGGU